UACGGGGGGAGCAAGCGUUGUUCGGAUUUACUGGGCGUAAAGGGCGCGUAGGCGGUCAGCACAAGUCAGUUGUGAAAUCUCCGGGCUUAACUCGGAAAGGUCAACUGAUACUGUGCGACUAGAGUGCGGAAGGGGCAACUGGAAUUCUCGGUGUAGCGGUGAAAUGCGUAGAUAUCAGGAGGAACACCGGUGGCGAAGGCGGCUAUCUGGACAGAGUCUGACGCUGAGGCGCGAAAGCUAGGGGAGCAAACAGG
rnacentral:rRNA from 1 species